ensembl:snoRNA
AUUCUUUUGUAGUUCAAGAGUGUGAUGAUUGGCGUUCAUGAGCAUGUAUGAGAUAUGCCACCCUUGAACCUUGUUACAUCAGCACAUUACCCGCCUGACC